GUGCAAUGAUGUUAACAUUCUGCCAAAUGAUGUCAUGUGAUAUCAAAACUUACCGUUCCAAACUUUUCUGAGCAC